AUUAGAUUAAAAACCAAUGCCCUUCGGGGCUCACUGGUGAUUCAUGAUAACUCCUCGAAUCGCAUGGCCUUGUGCCGGCGAUGGUUCAUUCAAAUUUAUUCCCUAUCAACUUUCGAUGUUUGGGUAUUGGCCAAACAUGGUUGCAACGGGUAACGGAGGGUUAGGGCUCGACCCCGGAGAAGGAGCCUGAGAAACGGCUACUACAUCCAAGGAAGGCAGCAGGCGCGCAAAUUACCCAAUCCCGACACGGGGAGGUAGUGACAAUAAAUACUGAUACAGGGCUCUUUUGGGUCUUGUAAUUGGAAUGAGUACAAUUUAAAUCCCUUAACGAGGAACAAUUGGAGGGCAAGUCUGGUGCCAGCANCCGCGGUAAUUCCAGCUCCAAUAGCGUAUAUUAAAGUUGUUGUGGUUAAAAAGCUCGUAGUUGAACCUUGGGCCUGGCUGGCCGGUCCGCCUCACCGCGUGUACUGGUCCGGCCGGGCCUUUCCCUCUGUGGAACCCCAUGCCCUUCACUGGG
rnacentral:rRNA from 1 species